CGCGGCGCCCGUGCCGGCUCGGCGGUGUCGCAGGAGAAUGGAGGGGGCUGACCAAGUGGUGCUGGUAGGCGACGAUGGAGGCGUUGCGCGUGAUUUGGUGGUCUGAGUCGUCGCCCGCGCCCGUUGGCCUCUCCCACGUCGUUCCUUCGCAGUGGUCAUCGUCGCCAUCCAGACCGUGGUCGACUGUGAGCUAUAGAGUAAUUCGUUCCACUGCGGCGUGAGGGCGGGCGUGCAGUUUUCGUCGCGUAGGCGUUCAGCGGCGAGGUGGCCACGACACCCCCAGGUGGCCGGCGCUCCUGCGGGUGCCAGGAAGGUGUGCCUCAGCUCUCAGCGGCCGCCUGGGGGCUAGCACCGGGUCACUGAGCGAGCGCCAGCUGUCUGAACAAGACACUGAUAGGCUCGUUGUAAGGUUCUGGAUAUUGCAAAUUACUGGCAGCUGCAUGAUGAUACAGAGAUCUCGUAGACAUACUGUGAAAACGCAGAUCAAACAAAUAAGAAUUGAAGUGACUUCUUCUCGCUAGACGCACACUGCGAUCCCAUUGAUGGGGAGUCCAUCCACGCCGCGACGACGGACGGUGAGUAUCCGCGGUGCGCUUGGUACGCCGGAAAAAGUGGAGUUCCAUACCAAGCUGAGCAUCGAGGGUCUUCCAGAGGAGACGCAGAAGCUGCAGGCCGUGAACCUUCUGCUGGCUAGUCUCGAUGGCGUGCUUUACGAGAUGUUACUGGCGACUGACCUCUGGGCUGUGCGACUGACCUCCUGGCUGCGUGACCCCUGCUCUCCCUGCUGUUUACUUCAGUUUAUUGUGUCGGACUAGUUGUCUUUUAUCGAGUUUGGUACUCCUAUUUUUUUACUUCAAUUUGUCAGUCUGUUUGAUUGAGAAAUGUUUGAUUGAGAAAUCUGGCAGCUAAGGUGGUUAUCUUGUUUAAUUCAGAAUACUCUUUAUCCUGCAAUUGAAAUAGUUUAAUUCCACACUGAAACUCACCAUCUACAUGUAGUUUUUAGAGAGAAGAAAUCAAUGGCUCAAGUCUAUGGUUUUUGCUGGAAUGGCACAUGCCAGUUUCUCAUUUCUGAGUUGCGCGU